rnacentral:rRNA from 1 species
AGUGAACGCUGGCGGUAGGCCUAACACAUGCAAGUCGAUCGGCAGCACAGUAAGAGCUUGCUCUUACGGGUGGCGAGUGGCGGACGGGUGAGGAAUACAUCGGAAUCUACUUUUUCGUGGGGGAUAACGUAGGGAAACUUACGCUAAUACCGCAUACGACCUACGGGUGAAAGCAGGGGAUCUUCGGACCUUGCGCGAUUGAAUGAGCCGAUGUCGGAUUAGCUAGUUGGCGGGGUAAAGGCCCACCAAGGCGACGAUCCGUAGCUGGUCUGAGAGGAUGAUCAGCCACACUGGAACUGAGACACGGUCCAGACUCCUACGGGAGGCAGCAGUGGGGAAUAUUGGACAAUGGGCGCAAGCCUGUUCCAGCCAUACCGCGUGGGUGAAGAAGGCCUUCGGGUUGUAAAGCCCUUUUGUUGGGAAAGAAAAGCAGCAGGUUAAUACCCCGCUGUUCUGACGGUACCCAAAGAAUAAGCACCGGCUAACUUCGUG